AGCGAACGCUGGCGGCAGGCCUAAUACAUGCAAGUCGAACGCCCCUUCGGGGGAGUGGCGGACGGGUGAGUAACGCGUGGGAACGUGCCCUUUGGUUCGGAACAACACAGGGAAACUUGUGCUAAUACCGAAUGUGCCCUUCGGGGGAAAGAUUUAUCGCCAUUGGAGCGGCCCGCGUUGGAUUAGCUAGUUGGUGGGGUAAAGGCCCACCAAGGCGACGAUCCAUAGCUGGUCUGAGAGGAUGAUCAGCCACACUGGGACUGAGACACGGCCCAGACUCCUACGGGAGGCAGCAGUAGGGAAUCUUGCGCAAUGGGCGAAAGCCUGACGCAGCCAUGCCGCGUGAAUGAUGAAGGUCUUAGGAUUGUAAAAUUCUUUCACCGGGGAAGAUAAUGACGGUACCCGGAGAAGAAGCCCCGGCUAACUUCGUGCCAGCCGCCGCGGUAA
rnacentral:rRNA from 1 species